rnacentral:rRNA from 1 species
AAUAGAUACCCGGGUAGUCCACGCCAUAAACGAUGGAUGCUAGCUAUUGGGGGAAUCGACCCCCUCCGAAGCGAAGCUAACGCGUUAAGCAUCCCGCCUGAGUAGUACAAGCGCAAGCUUAAAACUCAAAGGAAUUGACGGGGACCCGCACAAGCGGUGGAGCGUGUGGUUUAAUUCGAUGGUAAACGAAGAACCUUACCAAGGUUUGACAUCCCGGUAGCCGUUCUCCGAAAGGAGAAUUUCAUUUAGUUGGACCGGUGACAGGUGAUGCAUGGCCGUCGUCAGCUCGUGUCGUGAGAUGUUGGGUUAAGUCCCGCAACGAGCGCAACCCUUAUGAUUUAGUUGGAUUUUUCUAAACAGACUGCCCUGGUAACAGGGAGGAAGGAGGGGAUGAUGUCAGGUCAGUAUUUCCCUUACACCUUGGGCGACACACGCGCUACAAUGGCCGGUACAAUGGGCAGCUAAGCCGCGAGGUGGAGCAAAUCCCAUCAAAGCCGGUCCCAGUUCGGAUUGCAGGCUGAAACCCGCCUGCAUGAAGCCGGAAUCGCUAGUAA